GUAAACUCGACCAGAGAUGUCCGGAAGUUCAGAACUGGAGUGUUUGCCCCCUAUCCUGCCCUUGGCUUGAUCCAGAGAAAGCGGAGAGAGCUACAACUGGUUCUAGGCAAACCAACGUUCCUAGCCCCAAAAGGGCUGUGGGUUGUUAAGAGAGCCCUUUGCCAGAAAGCCCAACACCUGUGUCUUUAGUCCCGCGGCUCACAGGUGCCCGGUGUUUUGUCUCCAAGUUGAUUAUGAUGGAAAAACAGGAUGGAGUUAGCAAGCGAAAGCGGCAGGACUUUACUCACCGCGUUGGAGUCUUUGGCAAUAAUGAGGGGCUCGGCUGGCUUGCCCAAGAAGGUGGGCGGAUGUUGAGUCCGAGGUUCUUGGACUCGCGGGCUUCAGAGAAUGAAGGAGCUGGCCCUGAUGCCCUGGUAAGCGUAACAGGGCGGACAGAAUUCAUGGACAAAGAGUGAGCAACGACGCAGUUUAGUAGGCAGAGCAGAGUCCAGCUUCCGCAUAAGGGAAGGGGACCCGGAAGGGCUACUGCUGCUGCUGACCUCUGUUGUCCACAUAAGAUGUGACUUGCUCCUCCUUGCCUUCCACCUUGAUUGUGAGGCCUCCCCAGCCAUGUAGAACUGAGCCUCAACCAUGAACAUUGCAAUGGGUAAGGAAAAACACCUUUCCUCUUCUACAAUCAAUAUAUCCUGUUUCAACUAGCAACACAGACACAUACGCAUACAAAUAUUUUCAUUAAUAAUAAUUACUCCCAAAACAUUAUUGGCAAGGUCUAUCCUAGUUAUAAGCAUCAAACAGAGAAAUAAAUUGGUAUUUGCUGCCAAAAAGUUUCCCCUUGAAAGUGGCAGUGGCUCUUUUUCUCUCAUGAUGAAGGUCCUCUGAUUUCUGUGUCUGUAAGUUGGAAUGAGGUCCAGGUAGAGCAAGGGAACACUCUCUUAUGUAUAGACUUGUUUAACCCACACCAUUUUAUCUUUCUGUCCAAAUCUUUUUCUUAUGUAUUUGUUUUUUUCACUCACACCCAGUCUUUAAUUUCAGUGCAUGCUUCUGGUUCUAAAGUUGUUGAUUGCAGAGAGAUUUCCCACUGCAUCCACAUGACAUGAACACAACCCUGACGCUGCAGUGGAUUCAGUUCUGGCAUUGAACCUGGUCAUCUAUGUGAAUUAAUCACUCCUAGGAAUGUACUGAUAUUUUCCUGUAUUCAUAUCCAUACUAAGGUCAUCUCAAAUACCAGAAAUAUUUUUUUUAUAAUUUUAAACUUAAGGAGAGAAAUUAAAAUGAUUUUUUAUAGAAAUUUUAUUUUAUAAGAUAAACUUUCAUCAGCCCCUUUUGAGAAAAUUAGAAAUCUACCUCCUAAAGGGUGAAGGGGUGAGGUGAAAUUUUACGGCCACAACACAUCCCUGUAAUAUGCAUUUUGUAAGAGAACGUAAAUACAUUUUCAGCCACAUAUGUUUUUCUCUUUGAAUUUACUAAGAAUUUUUAAAUAACAGAAUUACAGAAUUAUGGACUUAGUUUAUAUCCUGCCUUUCCCCAAGAGGCAUAUAAAUACAUCAGAAAAUAACUAAUAAGAUUUAAAGAUAGAUUAGAUAUUCGAUGCACAUAAAAUAAUAAGAUAAAGCCAGAGGUAGUGUUAUUAUGUAAAUCCUACAGUUAUAAAACAUUCUACACAUUUGCUAAAAUGGACAACAAAUUUGAGUCUAAAAUGUCUAACUGUCAAAGCAAAGAUUCUUGAAGAGAUUUAGAAUAUCCUUAGGGGCUAACAACAAACAGUUCCUCAAGAAAAAGCACAGCUCUCCUGAUACUAUGACUGAAAUAAAUUUCUCCUGUGAGUGCCAUAAUUGAAGGAUCUUAGAAGUGGUAGAGAUAUUAGUGUUCAGCCAUUCCAAGCACCUAUUCAGUGCCUGUAUUCAUUCUACUCAGUCCUUUCUAGAAAACCGUAUCUCUACUUGAAUGAGUCCAUUGGCACAAAGCUCAGCAAUAAUAUGGCAUUUUAUUAUUUAGGAGACAAUUUCUAGUUUUUUUAAAACAAUGUAUUCCAUUGGUUUAGCCUCCUUUUAUGUGUAAUCCUCUGGUCAUAAUUCUAGUUCUCUGGAGCAAGGCAAAACAAGACUACUCUUUAUUCCACUUUUAAAUAAUUUAACAAUUGCUGUCAAUGCUUCCUUAUUCAUACAUACAUUUAUAUUAAAAUAUGCAUUGUAUUGCUACAAUUUACUAGGCACUAUGCUAUAAGUUCAGUGGAUGUAACUGUGAAUAAUUAAAAACAUAGCUCUCGAUUUUCCGGAGAGAUCCAAGAUGGCUGAUUAGCAGCAGCUCAGGAUUGCAGCUCCCAGUGAAAGCACAGAGAGUGAGUGGAUGCCACACUCCCAGAUGAAUUUUUGUUGCCCAUAGACCAGGAGAUUCCCAGCGGAGGAGCCCCACGGGUCACCAGCGUGACUCUUUUGGCCAGUGCAGCUGUUUUGCCAGCGCUCCAGUGUGGUGGUUCUCAGUGUGGAGUAUAUGGGACUGGGUGCCCUUUUAGUUGGUCUUUGGAGCUCCAGGAAGGCAGAGUUACCCAUUCAGCUGAUUGAAAAGGGGACUGAAACAGGGAGCCAGACCAGGAGAUUCCCAGGCAAAAAAGUGCCACAAAUCUCAACAUCGCUGUUUCAGCUGGCGCAGUGGGUUGCAGCAAGGGAAGUUACACAGAUUCCAGAACACUUUCAACAGGUGACUGGAACAACUGGGAGAGAAUCGGCCAUUCAAUUAAAGAAAAAAAAGGCUCUGAGACAGGGAGCCAGGUGAUCAGGCUCAGCUGGUCCCACCACCACUAAAAAACAGCAAUUGGAAAUGCUGAGGAUUGAGAGUCUUAAAGCAAGCACAGCUGAACCUGGGAAGGUCCAGCUUUGUGGGGGAGUGGCAUCCACAUAAGGAAAACUAAGAAACAGAAAAAACUUCAUCACCAACAAACUGGACAUCCACUCAGAAACCCAAUCUGAAAGUCAGCAAUUACAAAGACAACAGGUGGAUAAAUCCACAAAGAUGGGAAGAAACCAGUGCAAAAAGGCUGAAAAACACCCAAAAUCAGAAUGCCUCUCCUCCUACAGGGAAUUGUAGCUCCUCAUCAGCAAGAAACAAGGCCUGAUGGAGAAUGAGUGUGACAAAUUGAUAGAAUCUGGCUUCAGAAGGUGGAUAAGAAACUUCUGUGAGCUAAAAGAACAUGUUCUAACCCAAUGCAAAGAAACUAAGAACCUUGAAAAAAGGUUUGACAAAAUGCUACUGAGAGUAGGAAUAUGAGUGAAUUAAUGGACCUGAAAAACACAAUACGAGAACUCUGCAAAGUAUACACAAGUUUUAACAGUCGAAUUGAUCAAGCAGAAGAAAGGAUAUAUCAGAGGUUGAAUACCAACUCAAUGAAAUAAAAUGAGAAGACAAUAUUAGAGAAAAAAGGGUAAAAAGGAAUGAGGAAAAUCUCCAAGAAAUAUGGGACUAUGUGAAAAGACCUAAUCUACGUUUGAUAGGUGUACCUGAAUGUCAUGAAGAGAAUGAAUCCAAGCUGGAAAAUGUUGUUUAGGAUAUUAUCCAAGAAAACUUUCCCAACCUAGCAAGACAGGACAAUUCUCAACUCUAGGUAAUACAGAGAACACCACAAAGAUAUUUCUCAAGAAGAGCAACCCCAAGGCACAUAAUCGUUAGAUUUACCAGGGUUGAAAUGAAGGAGAAAAUACUAAGGGCAGCCAGAGAGAAAGGUCAGGUUACCUACAAAGGGAAGCCUAUCAGACUCACAGCAGAUCUCUCAGCAGAAACCCUACAAGCCAGAAGAGAAUGGGGGCCAAUAUUCAACAUCCUUAAAGAAAAGAAUUCUCAACCCAGAAUUUCAUAACCAGCCAAACUAAGCUUCAUAAGUGAAGGAAAAAUAAAAUCUUUUGUGAACAGGCAAAUACUCAGAGACUUCAUCACCACCAGGCCUGCUUUACAAGAGCUUUUGAAAGAAGCAUUACACAUAGAAAGGAACAACCAGUAUCAGCCAUUCCAAAAGCAUACCAAAAGAUCAAGAGCAUCAUCGUAAUAAAGAAUCUACAUCAAUUAAUGGGCAAAACAGCCAGCUAGCAUUAAAUGCCAGUAUUAAACUCACAUAUAUCAAUAUUAAUCCUAAAUUUAAAUGGACUAAAUGCCCCAAUCAAAAGACGCAGACAGGCAAAUUGGAUAAAAAGCCAAAACCUAUUGGUAUGCUGCAUCCAGGCCCAUCUCACAUGUAAGGAUACAAAAAGACUCAAAACAAAGGGAAAGAGGAAGAUUUACCAACCAAAUGGAGAGAGAGAAAAAAAAAGCAGAAGUUGCAAUUCUUAUCUCUGACAAAAUAGACUUUAAAGCAACAAAGACCAAAAGAGACAAAGAAGGACAUUACAUAAUGGUAAAAGGAUCAAUGCAACAGGAAGAGCUAAUGAUCCUAAAUAUAUAUGCACCCAAUACAGGAGCAGCCAGAUACAUAAGGCAAGUUUUUAAUGACUUAAUAAGAGACUUACAAGGAUAUCCAGGACUUGAACUCAGACCUGGAACAAGUAAACUUAAUAAACAUUUACAGGACUCUCCACCCCAAAUCCACAAAACAUACAUUCUUCUCAGAAUCACAUCACACCUAUUCUAAAAGUGACCACAUAAUUGGAAGUAAAUCACUCAUCAGCAAUUGCAUAGCAUUUCACAGGUUUAAAUGAAAUAUUGGUUGACUGCUUGUUUUUUGUUUUCCUCCCUUAUUCCUAUCUGUCUCCAUUGUUAAGCACAAUUAUUGGCAUAAAAGAGGUUUUUAAUACCUAUUUUUAGACUGCAUUCUAGCCUGGGCAAUAGAGCAAGAUUCCAGUUCUCUCUCCCUCUUUCUCUUCCUCUUUCUUUCUCCCUUUCAUUCUUUUUUCUUUUCUACUCUCUUUCUCUCUUCUUUUAUUUUCUUUCUUUCUUUCUUUUUCUUUUAAAAAAAAACAUAGCUCUCUAAGUUCCACAGGUUAACAAAAGAAAACCUUUUUUAACAUAUAGGAGUAUUCUUUAGUUUCUCCUAUGGGUAAAUAUCAAGUGUUUCCCUCUUCAGAGGUACUCUUUAUCCUCCACUGCCCUGCUCUAUGCCCUGGUAGCCUGACUCUAAUGGACUAUAUUAAUGGGUCCUUUGCCUUUGGGAUUCUAAAUAGUUGGGGUUCAGCCAGAGGUAAACAAUAGAAAGGGGAAAGACAGGUAAGUGAUGUCAUUUAUUCCUUCAGUUAACUCCCUGUGAGGACACCAUCAAUUUCACACAUCAGCCAAAUGUCACAGUUUCUUUAAGGUACUUUUGUUCCAGUGUCUUUUUAUUAUUAUUUUAUUUUUUCAUAAGUUAUUGGUGAUUGGGGUACAGGUGGUAUUUGGUUACAUGAGUAAUUUCUUUAGUGGUGAUUUGUAAGAACUUGGUGCACCCGUCAUUGAGCAAUAUACACACUGCACCAUAUUUGUAGUCUUUUAUCCCUGCCACCCCUCAUUCUUCCCCCCCUAAGUACCCAAAGUCCCUUGUGUCAUUCUUAUGCCUUUGCUUAGCUCUCACAUAUCAGUGAGAACAUACAAUGUUUGGCUUUCCAUUCCUGAGUUACUUCACUUAGAAUAAUAGUCUUUAAUCUCAUCCAGGUUAUUGCAAAUGCUGUUAAUUAAUUCCUUUUUAUGGCUGAGUAGUAUUCCCUCAUAUACGUAUACCACAGUUUAUCCACUCAUUGAUUGAUGGACAUUUGAGUUGGUUCCACAAUUUUGCUAUUGUGAAUUGUGCUGCUAUAAACAUGUAUGUGCAAAUAUCUUUUUUGAAUAAUGGCUUCUUUUCCUCUGGGUAGAUACCCAGUUGUGGGAUGAUCUCUGACAAAGCAAAAAAAAGGAAGUGCGGAAAGGACACCCUUUUCAACAAAUGGUACUGGGAUAAUUGGCUAGCCACAUGUAGGAUAAUUAUCUCUCAACUUAUACAAAAAUCAAUUCAAGAUGGAUUAAGGAAAUAAACCUAAGAUCUGAAAUUAUAAAAAUUCUAGAAGAUAACAUCAGGAAAACCCUUCUAGACAUUGGCUUAUGCAAGGAUUUUAUGACCCAAAACCCAAAAGCAAUUCCAAUAAAAACAAAUAAAUAGCUGGGACCUAAUUAAACCACAGAGCUUUUGCACAGCAAAAGGAACAGUCAGGAGGGUAAAUAGACAACAUAUCAGGUGGGAGAAAAUCUUUAUUAUCUAUAUAUCUGACAAAGGACUAAUAUCCAGAAUCUAUAAGGAACUCGAACAAAUCAGUAAGAAAAAAGCAAUCAGUCCUAUCAAAAAUAGGCUAAGGACACUAAUUGACAAUUCUCAAAAGAAGAUAUUCAAAGGGCCAACACACGUAUGAAAAAAAUACUCAACAUCACUAAUGGUGAGGGAAAUGCAAAUCAAAACCACAAUAUGAUACCACCUUCUAAAAAAUGGCCAUAAUUAAAGAAUCAAAAGAAAGUAGAUGUUGGAUGCAACGAUUGGGGAACACUUCUACACUAGUGGUGGGAAUGUAAACUUAUAGGGCUGCUAUAGAAAACAGUGUAGAGAUUCCUUAAAGAACUAAAAGUAGAACUACCAUUUAUUUCCCAUGUCUUAUAAUCAGUUUCUCUCUCAGUUUGCUUAGGUUCUCCAAUUCUUUCCAGUUCAAUGGUACUGAACAUUCCCAGUGGUUUUCCUAUACCAUGAGAAUUAUAUGUAUGUAUGUAUGUGUAUAUAUAUAUAUUUUUUUUUUAAUUGCAUUUUAGGUUUUGGGGUAUAUGUGAAGAAUAUGCAAGAUUGUUGCAUAGGUACAUACAUGGCAAUGUGGUUUGCUGCCUUCUUCCCCAUCACCUAUAUCUGGCAUUUUCCCCAUGUAAUCCCUCCCCAACUCCCCACCUCUGGCUGUCCCUCCCCUACUUCCCCCUGACAGACCCCAGUGUGUGAUGCUCCCCUCCCUGUGUCCAUGUGUUCUCAUUGUUCAACACCCACCUAUGAGUGAGAACAUGCAGUAUUUCAUUUUCUAUUCUUGUGUCAGUUUGCUGAGGAUGAUGUUCUCCAGGUUCAUCCAUGUCCCUACAAAGAACACAAACUCAUCGUUUUUGAUUGCUGCAAAAUAUUCCAUGGUGUAUAUGUGCCACAUUUUUUCUGUCCAGUCUAUCAUCGAUGGGCAUUUGGGUUGAUUCCAGGUCUUUGCUAUUGUAAACAGUGCUGCAAUGAAUGUGUCCUUAUAGUAGAAUAAUUUAUAGUACUUUGGAUAUAUACCCAGUAAUGGGAUUGCUGGGUCAAAUGGAAUUUCUAUUUCUAGGUCCUUGAGGAAUCGCCACACUGUCUUCCACAAUGGUUGAACUAAUGUACACUCCCACUAGCAGUGGGAAAAAAGUGUUCCUAUUUUUCCACAUCUUCUCCAGCAUCUGUUGUCUCCAGAUUUUUUAAUGAUCGCCAUUCUAACUGGGGUGAGAUGGUAUCUCAAUGUAGUUUUGAUUUGCAUUUCUCUAAUGCUCUAAUGAUGAGCGUUUUUUCAUAUGUUUGUUAGCCUCAUAUAUGUCUUCUUUUGUAAAGUGUCUGUUCAUAUGCUUUGCCCACGUUUGAAUGGACUUGUUUGAUUUUUUCUUGUAAAUCUGUUUUAGUUCUUUGUAGAUUCUAGAUAUUAGCUCUUUGUCAGAUGGGUAGAUUGCAAAUUUUUUUUUCCAUUCUGUUGGUUGCCGAUUCACUCUAAUGAUUCUUUUGCUGUGCAGAAGCUCUGGAGUUUGAUUAGAUCUCAUUUGUCUAUUUUGGCUUUUCUUAUCAAUGCUUUUGGUGUUUUAGUCAUUAAGUCCUUGCCUAUGCCUAUGUUCUGAAUGGUUUUGCCUAGGUUUUCUUCUAGGGUUUAUGGUGUUAGGUCUUAUGUUUAAGUCUUUAAUCCACCCCUGAGCAUUUUUUAAAAAUUGAUUUAAUUCAUAAAAUUCUUUUAUUUUACUGUAUUUGUUUCCUCUUAGAACUGUGAUAAGAAUGAUUUGCCAUACUGAAGUAAUGCCAAGCAUAUAAUAAAUGUAUCUAAUGAAUGUCAAAUAAUUUUUUGGUACAAAAACCUUGAAAGUUGAUAAUAUAGCAUUCACCUUAUUCCAGGUCUCUUCAUCCUUCCCCUUCUUCUCCUCCUUCCCCUCCUCUUCCUUUUUCAUUUUUCUCUCUCUUUCUCAUACAUAGAGAACCUUUGUGAUUCCUGGGAUUCAGAUAUUUGUGAUUUAUGAAUUAAUAUAACAUUUAUAAUACAAUA